UGAUAUUAUAGUGUAGUGAGCCUAUCAGGUCCAUACAGUGCUCCCCAACUAUAGCAUUGCCAUAGUCGCCAUCAAUUGAUUUUAAUCAACUGGGUCGUUUUUAUUAUUGUGAUUGUUGGAAAUUGCUUCAGCCUCAGUUGCGGGAUAUUUUGGCAACGUGCAGAACGGGGUGUUGCAGAACGGAGUGAUUAAAUAUCAAUUAAUAAAAAACUAUGAGUUUUUCAAGUUUAUGUGAUUUUUAUAUCGCCUAUGAUUCUAACGAAAAUCGUUAUCCUGUAGGGAGCUAUCAGAGAGAAGGUGGAAUAAUGUGAGCGUUCAAUUGAUGAACGCUAUAAAAAUAAUCUGAUUGAAAUACUUAGCUAGCCGGAUAUCGAGCGAGACCAUGAUCUGAUUUUAUUGAUUCCAGCCAAAGUGAAAUGUUACUUCAAUUUCCUCAUAAAUUUGAUCAAUCGGGUACGACAAACGGCAGAACUUAACGAUAUGAAGUUUUGCAGUGGUUCGCAAUGGUACAGUACAUUUUGUAAAACAAAUGUCGGUACUUUGUUGAAACUUGGGAUAAAUUUUCUAGCCAAAACAAUAAUAUUAGGCCUCGUGUAGAAAUUAUUGAUGUUUCCAAAAUGCCUAUCAAUUUGCUGUGCGUAUUAUUCCUUGAAAAUUGACAAUCAGAAAGAAAAUGUCCUAUUUCUCGUCGACACCUUGAAGAGGUCGGGCGUAUAGUGUUCACACUCCGAUACCGUUAUCAGUAAUAUCGAUUGGUUUGAUGUCUGGUGAAGAUUUUUUUGCGGUCUCAUAGGUGGAAUAGCAAAGUUGCCCCGAAUCACCCAUCUAGCGGUGCAACGCAUUUACGGAGCAGAUAUCAUUGACACAGCAAUGCUGCCGAUCGGUUGUCUGUUAAAGGAUCAUCAAAUGAAAAUUAUAUAUUUUCGUAAGAUUGCUUAUGACACCCGAUCCUCUGGUAAGCAGCUCACGAAAGCAAAGACUGGAGAGAAUCCUACAGUGGUAGACAUUCGUUUAGCCGCACCCUAUUUUUCCUCAAUAUUUUUAAAAAUAAGUCAAUUCUUUGUACAGUUUUGCUCAUAAAAGACAAUUAUUGUUUAUUUUCAUCGAAUUCAUUCUAAAAAAGUAUAAAUUCACUUUUUGUUUUCUAAGUAAUUCAAAUAUGUGGAAUCAGGGUGGACAUUCGUUUAGCCGCAUCCUAAAAUAUCAAUAAAAGAAAAUU